rnacentral:lncRNA from 1 species
UAGAAAUGAUAGAGAGAGAAAUGGAUUGAAGUAUAAGUGAAAAGGUUGGUUUUGCAGAGGUUGGUCUGCUAGGGACUCAAUGACAGGAGAUUCUAGAGUCUGGAGAAAAGAUCUGAAGGGGCACUGACCAACUGAAAUGGGCUUCCUGUUUCUUGGAGCUGAGAGAAGAGGUGAUUCACACUCUAGUGUGAAUUGGACUUAAGUAAAUCAGAGUUGCAUAAAGUCAUCAGCCUCACUCGCUCUUCCAGAGUCAUCCAAAUCCAAUGGCAAGAUACAAGUCAGGAUGCCUGGCAAUGACCCAGGAUGAAGUGUAUGAUCUUGCUGUCUUCAAGCUUUAAGUGCUCUCCAUCACCUGCUUUAGCUGCCUUCAUUGCUAUUGUAACAAAUUGUUCUCAUUUCCCAUCUCACCUGAAGAAGUCUUCAUGUGCUUGAGACUAAUCAUGCAACUGACUCCCAUGGAAAUUGUGGAUAAGGAAUCCAUUAAUGAAAAUGGCACUGCUUGCUUCUUUCUUGUUGACCUGAUAGCCUUGGGGCUAUCAAAAGAGCAGAUAACUAAUAGGAAAACUGCACAUUUUUACAGUCUCCCAAAUGCUCAGUGUAGUGCCUUGCACACAGGGUUCAGUGCUCUUCCUAGUGGUUUACAUGACUAUUUCUGGGGAAAGAAAGAAAAUCAAUGUCCUGGCAUCUCCUAGGAAGCCUGGCUCAAAACCAAAAGGAAAGUAAAAGCAGCCCAAACACUGACUCUAUGGUUAUGAGCUCAUCUGCACAGGGAGACCUUUUAGGAGAUUAAAAUACAGUUGAGAAUGCAACUCAAUUUAAUUUUAGCCCAUUAAAGCUAAGUAGAAACAGGGAAAUCAUUUGGUAUUUCUACUCUGCACUAAAUAGUUGACCUGAGUGAUGCUCAGGUGAUGGACACAGAUGCGCAAUUGAGGCAACUAGGAAACUAGCUGGCAAAACAAACCAACCUAGAAGACAGAUGUAUACUCAAGUGUUCUAAACCAAUGGAAUAGCUCAAUACAGACAAUUGAUCCAAAUGCCAAGGUACUGGACAUGGAUCAAGAGUCAGCAUUCAUCUGGCAAAGCAAUAAAGCGGGAUCAUUUACCA